AUAAAUUAUUUGUUUCCAACUUAUUUCCACAGAUACAGAGGAAGGUAUUCAUUACGGAUCCAUCUCCUUCCAGCCUAAAGCAACUGGUGGCAGCAGCGAUAAUACACUGUCCUCCAAUCAAGCAUCAGGCACUAACCUUGUUUCUUCAAAGGAAGAUGAGUCU